UACGGAGGGUGCAAGCGUUAUCCGGAUUCACUGGGUUUAAAGGGUGCGUAGGCGGGUUGGUAAGUCCGUGGUGAAAUCCCCAAGCUUAACUUGGGAGCUGCCGUGGAUACUAUCAAUCUUGAAUAUCGUGGAGGUAAGCGGAAUAUGUCAUGUAGCGGUGAAAUGCUUAGAUAUGACAUAGAACACAAAUUGCGUAGGCAGCUUACUACACGAUCAUUGACGCUGAGGCACGAAAGCGUGGGGAGCAAACAGG
rnacentral:rRNA from 1 species